CGGUCAUCCCCCCUCAGCCACCUACUACAGGACCGCCAAGAAAAGAAGUUCCCAAAACCACUCCUAGUGAGCCCAAGAAAAAGCAGCCUCCACCACCAGAAUCAGGAAAAACCACCUCCGGUCAAUAAGCAGGAGAAUGCAGGCACUUUGAACAUCCUCAGCACUCUCUCCAAUGGCAAUAGUUCUAAGCAAAAAAUUCCAGCAGAUGGAGUCCACAGGAUCAGAGUGGACUUUAAGGUAAAGGUGUUCAGUGA
rnacentral:sRNA from 1 species